rnacentral:rRNA from 1 species
AUGCCGCUCCCACCUCGCCCCCCUUCCCUUUCGCCACGCGGCUCCACCCCACGCGCCGUGCCCCACGACCGCGUGCAACCCUCCCCUUGCUGCCUUUUUCCCACGUCCAGCACCGCUCCAUGCAGCACCUCGCUCCCACCGCGUGCCGUCGCCAUCGCACCCCCACAAAACCCUCAUCAUAUGCGCAUGCACGACAAGUCUGGCUAUGCCCUUCCUAAAACUCAUACUAAUCUCACCGUAGAUAUCCUCUCCCCCAUCCCUCCAACCUACCGCACUGCCCUAAAAGACCCCCGCUGGUAUGCCUCUAUGCGUGAGGAAUAUGAUGCACUGAUUCAUAAUAAAACCUGGUGUUUAGUGUCACGUCCUGCAGGUGUGAACGUCGUCAGCGGCAAAUGGAUCUACAGGCACAAGUUCAACGCCGACGGCUCUCUGACACGCCACAAGGCUCGCUGGGUCCUGCGUGGGUUCACCCAGCGUGAGGGCGUCGACUACACCAAGACCUUCAGCCCCGUCGUCAAGCCAUCCACCAUCCAGGUCGUUCUCAGCCUCACCGUCAGCAGCUCGUGGCCAAUCCACCAACUGGACGUGAAGAACGCAUUUCUUCACGGCCGGCUCGACGAGGUCGUCUACAACGAGCAACCUUCCGGCUUCCUUGAUGCCGACCGCCCGGAUCAUGUCUAUCGUCUCCAGCGCUCCCUGUACGGCCUGAAGCAGGCCCCCCGCGCCUGGUUCUCGCGGUUCAUGGUGCACCUCGGUGAGGAACCUAGAGCGGAGGAACCCGGUGUACCUCUCGAGCAACCCGGUGCAGCACCAGCGAACCCGGUGAACCACGAGCAACCCGGUGCAGCACCAGCGAACAAAGCAUGUGGAAAUCGACCUACAUUUCGUCCGCGAACGGGUCAGCAUCGGCGACGUCAAGGUUCUGCAUGUUCCCACUUCAUCUCAGUUCGCGGACAUCUUCACUAA